GCAUAUCANUAAGCGGAGGAAAAGAAACCAACAGGGAUUGCCUUAGUAACGGCGAGUGAAGCGGCAACAGCUCAAAUUUGAAAUCUGGCCCUUGGGUCCGAAUUGUAAUUUGUAGAGGAUGAUUUUGGUGCGGUAUCUUCCGAGUUCCUUGGAACAGGACGCCUUAGAGGGUGAGAGCCCCGUACGGUUGAAUGCCUAGCCUCUGUAAAUCUCCUUCGACGAGUCGAGUAGUUUGGGAAUGCUGCUCUAAAUGGGAGGUAAAUUUCUUCUAAAGCUAAAUAUUGGCCAGAGACCGAUAGCGCACAAGUAGAGUGAUCGAAAGAUGAAAAGCACUUUGAAAAGAGGGUUAAAUAGCACGUGAAAUUGUUGAAAGGGAAGGAUUUGUGACCAGACUUUUUCUGGGCGGAUCAUCCGGGGUUCUCUCCGGUGCACUUCGCCCAGUAAAGGCCAGCAUCGGUUUUCGGCGUGGGAUAAAAGCAGUAGGAAUGUGGCUCUCUACGGGGAGUGUUAUAGCCUAUUGUAUAAUACCACGCUGGGGACCGAGGUUCGCGCUNCGC
rnacentral:rRNA from 1 species